UGACGAGUGGCGGACGGGUGAGUAAUGUCUGGGAAACUGCCUGAUGGAGGGGGAUAACUACUGGAAACGGUAGCUAAUACCGCAUAACGUCGCAAGACCAAAGAGGGGGACCUUCGGGCCUCUUGCCAUCGGAUGUGCCCAGAUGGGAUUAGCUAGUAGGUGGGGUAACGGCUCACCUAGGCGACGAUCCCUAGCUGGUCUGAGAGGAUGACCAGCCACACUGGAACUGAGACACGGUCCAGACUCCUACGGGAGGCAGCAGUGGGGAAUAUUGCACAAUGGGCGCAAGCCUGAUGCAGCCAUGCCGCGUGUAUGAAGAAGGCCUUCGGGUUGUAAAGUACUUUCAGCGGGGAGGAAGGGAGUAAAGUUAAUACCUUUGCUCAUUGACGUUACCCGCAGAAGAAGCACCGGCUAACUCCGUGCCAGCAGCCGCGGUAAUACGGAGGGUGCAAGCGUUAAUCGGAAUUACUGGGCGUAAAGCGCACGCAGGCGGUUUGUUAAGUCAGAUGUGAAAUCCCCGG
rnacentral:rRNA from 1 species